CCACAUCAUGCUGAAACACUGGUUCCCAUACAAUCACUGAAGUUAAGCAACUUCGUGCCUGAUCAGUACCUAGAUGGGUGACUGUUUGAGAAUACCAGGCACUGUAAG